rnacentral:rRNA from 1 species
CCUACGGGAAGCAGCAGUGAGGAAUAUUGGUCAAUGGACGCAAGUCUGAACCAGCCAUGCCGCGUGCAGGAAGACGGCUCUAUGAGUUGUAAACUGCUUUUGUACGAGGGUAAACGCAGAUACGCGUAUCUGUCUGAAAGUAUCGUACGAAUAAGGAUCGGCUAACUCCGUGCCAGCAGCCGCGGUAAUACGGAGGAUUCAAGCGUUAUCCGGAUUUAUUGGGUUUAAAGGGUGCGUAGGCGGUCGGAUAAGUUAGAGGUGAAAUCCCGAGGCUCAACUUCGGAAUUGCCUCUGAUACGGUGCGGCUAGAGAGUAGUUGCGGUAGGCGGAAUGUAUGGUGUAGCGGUGAAAUGCUUAGAGAUCAUACAGAACACCGAUUGCGAAGGCAGCUUACCAGGCUACUUCUGACGUUGAGGCACGAAAGCGUGGGGAGCAAACAGGAUUAGAUACCCCAGUAGUC